rnacentral:rRNA from 1 species
ACUCCUGCGGGAGGCAGCAGUGGGGAAUAUUGGACAAUGGGCGCAAGCCUGAUCCAGCCAUGCCGCGUGAGUGAUGAAGGCCCUAGGGUUGUAAAGCUCUUUCACCGGUGAAGAUAAUGACGGUAACCGGAGAAGAAGCCCCGGCUAACUUCGUGCCAGCAGCCGCGGUAAUACGAAGGGGGCUAGCGUUGUUCGGAUUUACUGGGCGUAAAGCGCACGUAGGCGGACUAUCAAGUCAGGGGUGAAAUCCCGGGGCUCAACCCCGGAACUGCCUUUGAUACUGGUAGUCUUGAGUUCGAGAGAGGUGAGUGGAAUUCCGAGUGUAGAGGUGAAAUUCGUAGAUAUUCGGAGGAACACCAGUGGCGAAGGCGGCUCACUGGCUCGAUACUGACGCUGAGGUGCGAAAGCGUGGGGAGCAAACAGGAUUAGAAACCCCGGUAGUCCCA